rnacentral:rRNA from 1 species
AUUGAACGCUGGCGGCAGGCUUAACACAUGCAAGUCGAGCGGUAACAGAGAGAAGCUUGCUUCUCUGCUGACGAGCGGCGGACGGGUGAGUAAUGCCUAGGAAUCUGCCUAGUAGUGGGGGAUACCUUGCCGAAAGGUAAGCUAAUACCGCAUACGUCCUACGGGAGAAAGGAGGGGACAUUCGGGCCUUUCGCUAUUAGAUGAGCCUAGGUGGGAUUAGUUAGUUGGUGAGGUAAUGGCUCACCAAGACCGCGAUCCGUAACUGGUCUGCGAGAAAUAUCAGUCACACUGGAACUGAGACACGGGCCAGAAUCCUACGGGAGGCAGCAGUGGGGAAUAUUGGACAAUGGGGGGAACCCUGAUCCAGCCAUGCCGCGUGUGUGAAGAAGGUCUUAGGAUUGUAAAGCACUUUAAGUUGGGAGGAAGAGCAGUUAACUAAUAUUUGACUGUUUUGACGUUACCGACAGAAUAAGCACCGGCUAACUUCGUGCCAGCCGCCGCGGUAA